rnacentral:RNase_P_RNA from 1 species
UCUCUGCAUUAGGCAGCCGCUCGCGCGCAAGCGUUGAGAGGAAAGUCCGGACACGCGCUCCGCAAGGAGCAGGACGGUAGUGGGUAACGCCCACCUAGGUAAUCUAAGGGAUGCGAACAGAGACGUCUUAGCCGAGAGGCGAAGACACCCGCAAGGGUGAGCCGGUGUGGAAACAUACUGGGUGCAACGGCAAAAAUCCUACCUGCGUGCAAGACCGUGCUUGGUCGCGCCGCAUUGAGUUCGAAGGGCUCAGUGCGGCGUGACUGAGAGAGUCGCUUGAGGUGAUUGGCGACAAUCAUCCCAGAUACAUGGUUGCCCUCGACAGAAUCCGGCUUACAGAUGCAGCGAAACA